rnacentral:rRNA from 1 species
CAGCACCUCAAGUGGUCAGGAUGAUUAUUGGGCCUAAAGCAUCCGUAGCCGGCUCUGUAAGUUUUCGGUUAAAUCUGUACGCUCAACGUACAGGCUGCCGGGAAUACUGCAGCGCUAGGGAGUGGGAGAGGUAGACGGUACUCGGUAGGAAGGGGUAAAAUCCUUUGAUCUAUUGAUGACCACCUGUGGCGAAGGCGGUCUACCAGAACACGUCCGACGGUGAGGGAUGAAAGCUGGGGGAGCAAACCGGAUUAGAGACCCGCGUAGUCC